GUUGAGUAUGAUGUUUGAUAAUGUGA
rnacentral:sRNA from 1 species